rnacentral:misc_RNA from 1 species
GAUGAAGAACGUAGCGAAAUGCGAUACUUGGUGUGAAUUGCAGAAUCCCGUGAACCAUCGAGUCUUUGAACGCAAGUUGCGCCCGAAGCCACUAGGCCGAGGGCACGCCUGCCUGGGCGUCACACGCCGUUGCCCCCCCAUCUACUCCUUCGGGAUUGCGGGGGGGCGGAUGAUGGCCUCCCGUGCGCCUAGCCGCGCGGUUGGCAUAAAUACCAAGUCCUCGGCGACGCACGCCACGACAAUCGGUGGUUGCGAAACCUCGGUUGCCCGUCGUGUGCGUUCGUCGCGCAUCGAGGGCUCGAAAAAAUGCUCGGCUCCGGCUGGGCUUUCAACGCGACCCCAGGUCAGGCGGGGUUACCCGCUGAAUUUAAGCGUAUCAAUAAGCGGAGGA